GAGGGCACAGCUCAGGGGUAGAGCACGUGCCUCGCAUGCGUGAGGUCCUGGGUUCAAUCCCCAGUGCUGCCA
rnacentral:tRNA from 1 species